rnacentral:rRNA from 1 species
CCUACGGGAGGCAGCAGUAAGGAAUAUUGGACAAUGGGCGAAAGCCUGAUCCAGCCAUCCCGCGUGGAGGAUGACUGCCCUACGGGUUGUAAACUCCUUUUAAUCAGGACGAAACCCCAAGAUUUAUCUUGGGCUGACGGUACUUUUUGAAUAAGCACCGGCUAAUUCCGUGCCAGCAGCCGCGGUAAUACGGAAGGUGCAAGCGUUAUCCGGAAUCACUGGGUUUAAAGGGUGCGUAGGCGGCGUAAUAAGUCAGAGGUGAAAGCUCACAGCUUAACUGUGGAACUGCCUUUGAUACUGUUAUGCUUGAAUUAGGUUGAGGUUGGCGGAAUGUGACAUGUAGCGGUGAAAUGCAUAGAUAUGUCAUAGAACAUCGAUUGCGAAGGCAGCUGGCUAGACCUUAAUUGACGCUGAGGCACGAAAGCGUGGGGAGCGAACAGGAUUAGAUACCCUGGUAGUCCACGCCCUAAACGAUGCUUACUCGUUGUUUGACUUUCGGGUUGAGCGACUAASGGAAACCGUUMAGUMAGCCACCUGGGGAGUACGUUCGC